CUACGGGACGCAGCAGUGGGGAAUAUUGGACAAUGGGGGAAACCCUGAUCCAGCAAUGCCGCGUGUGUGAAGAAGGCCUGCGGGUUGUAAAGCACUUUCGGUUGGGAGGACUGCUUCUAGCACUAAUAUUGUUGGAAGUUGACGUUACCUUCAGAAGAAGCACCGGCUAACUCCGUGCCAGCAGCCGCGGUAAUACGGAGGGUGCAAGCGUUAACCGGAAUUACUGGGCGUAAAGCGCGCGUAGGCGGCUAGAUCAGUCGGGUGUGAAAGCCCCGGGCUUAACCUGGGAACUGCAUCCGAUACUGUCUAGCUUGAGUACAGGAGGGGAGAGUGGAAUUCCACAUGUAGCGGUGAAAUGCGUAGAUAUGUGGAGGAACACCAAUGGCGAAGGCAGCUCUCUGGCCUGAUACUGACGCUGAGGUGUGAAAGCGUGGGGAGCAAACAGGAUUAGAUACCCGCGUAGUC
rnacentral:rRNA from 1 species